AGAAAUAGAAGCCCUCCUCCCGAUCUGCUAAAAAAAUAGCCCUCCCAUAUCCCUAACCUCAUCCCCACCAUCCCACCCAUCGCCUGCAAUGGAUCCGCCGCCGCCCUGAUCCCGACCAUCCGCCGCCGCUCUCUGCCCCAUCCACCGCCGCUGCUCACCGCAUUCACCCUCUGUUGCAUCCCAGCACCUCCAUAGCCACCGUGGACCAUCUCUCUCCUUGGUCCUCUCUUGGAUCAACAUGCGGUAACGGAUGCUUCCGGUCGCGUGGUGGUGAUGCGGCUGGUCGGGGAACAAGGGCGCUCUGCUCACCUGCGGCAGCGAUGCGUAUGGCAACAACAAUGUCCUUUUGUGCCCCUCCACUCUUCGGACCGCUGAUGCACGGAAGUACGCAGAGAAGAUCACGCUCCGCUUAGCAAAUUCGUCCGUGUUCUAAGUGGCUGCUCGGCAAGAGCUUGUGCCGGAUGUUCAUCAUCAACGCCAGAUAGGGGUUCAGGCUCCUGUUGAACUCAUGGCAUCAGCCAUAUGGACCUGCAUGUAUUUGAUAGUUUGCUCAAUCAGAUUUAUCCCUUCAACCAUAGUUAAGGCUACCACACUACUUCAUUGAGAUUUCUUUCAUACAGGACAUGGAUUUAUAAUCUCCAACAAUACGGUCAUGCUUCUUAUAUUUACUUUCAGUUCUAAAUACAUUUGUGAUUUUCUAUAUGCUGUCUUACUAAACUGUGUGUCCUAAACCAACCAUAUAGUAUAUAGAAAGGAUUUUAAAAUGUUAGCUUAUAUUGCAAAAUCUUGAAAAUAUGCGGUCUUUUUACUGUUUUUUCCGUGAACUUGGGGAGCUUGGGACAGAGUAUGGUGUCAAUAAGCAGUAUAUACCAGGACAAUAUUUUUGUGAUAUUGUAUAUACUAACUUAGUGAUAAUGGAGUGUUUACCACAUUUUUGCCAUGGACUCUAUACUGCAUUUUUGAACUGGUUAGAAUAGCUGACGCCUUUUUUAUCUUCCUUGUGGUAUAUGCUACCAUCAGAGGGAGUAUGUAAGGUACUAAUUUCAAGUAUAUACUAUUGUACUAUAUUUUGUCUAUAUACAUAAACAACCAAGUAGUAUGUGCACUUCUCUUUGUGCAUGGCAGUAUAUACAUCAUUUUUUGUAAGGCAAUAUAUAACACCUUUUUUGUGAACCAGUAUACUACUUUAUUUAGUCAGUACAUAUAUACAUAAUCUUUUAGUCGAUAUAUACUACUGUUCUUGAUAUAAUGGGUAAAGCAGCGCACACAUGACACGCAGCAACCGUUGUCGACUAGACGGUGGUGCCGCUGCAUGGAUCUAUCAGUGCAUGCCACGCCGCCACCGUUUCUUAUUGCUGCCGUUGUCGAUGAGAUUGGCAGUGACGUCGCAUGGGUCGACCAGUGCACACCAUGCUGCCACGUUGUCGAUGAGAUGGUGGUGCCGUCUUAUCCAUCGAUGCUAUGUGACUAGCUUCGUCAAUGGCUUUGCACCUUGAUCCAGAUUGUUUUCAUGCAAAGCAUGUCAUGUUUGCCUCUUAAUGACCACAUCCGCUAAGUCAGCUCUCUCUCUCUCUCUACUACUGCAACUAACUAACUGUGAUGAUCUUCUCCAGGUUUUUUGGCUGGAUACUGAGAUGGCACCAUUGUGCUGCUGAAGUUAAACCCUGUUUAUUGGGACGUACAAGCGGUCGGCAAGCACACAUGGCGGCCAGGGAUAAGACAUAUUUUUCCAAUGACUGCUGCUAGGAUUGAUGUCCUAUUGCCGGAGAAACAAUGGCAACAGUCACACCGUUUUGUCCAGCGAUGAUAUCAUCCAUGUCUAUUAUUUUGUUGACAAUCACCAUAGGUGCCCGCUCUUUCUUAAUAGAUUUGCAUUUUGAUCUCUGUAGCUUUUUAUGGAUGAAACCUAACUAUGUUACAUGCAUGCCUCAUCUAUGCAUUUUACCACUACUAUUUUCUUAAAGAUGGUAACAUUGUCCAUCAGAUCUUUUUCUUAGUUUCUUUCCAAGGUAAUUGGUGUGGUUGAUUGCUAUCGAGUGCAAAUAUUCUGCUGCCGAGACAAAAAAUACUUAUCUCUGGAUCUGAAAUAGCAAACAGUAAAUAAAAGUGAUGCACACAUUGAUCUAUAAUUUCCUUUUUCUAUUUAUUUAGAGUUGAUCUCUGUUUUCUCUUUGUCUGUUCAUGCUUGUGGCAAAAUUGCAGAUAUUCAUGUAUCGGCCUCACGCGUGUCGUUGCUGGAGCCCAUUCAUGGCGAGGAUACAUGGUUGAUGGCCCAACAAUCCUUAUGGGAUGGAAGGAUCCCAUGACUAUAGGAAUGGCACUAAAUAAACUGUGUACUAACUAGAGAAAUGAUUUAUUUCAUAGGUCUAGAAUAUAUAGGCUGACAAGUAUUUGGCAUUCUGUCUUUUUAAUAAGUAGAUGAUUUUUCUACAAUAGUUCCAUGUUCAUAUGUCAUGCUUCUUUGGUGCAAUAGGAAACAAUGCCAUUGAUCGACCAGAUUAUAUAGGGAUUUAUAUCAUCCUGAUAUAUAUAUUUCUACAAGUAGUUUAUACGAGCCUCAAAACACUGAUUUUCGAUAAA